GUGAGGAAUAUUGGUCAAUGGGCGGGAGCCUGAACCAGCCAAGUCGCGUGAAGGAAGAAGGAUCUAUGGUUCGUAAACUUCUUUUGCAGGGGAAUAAAGUGCAGGACGUGUCCUGUUUUGUAUGUACCCUGGGAAUAAGCAUCGGCUAACUCCGUGCCAGCAGCCGCGGUAAUACGGAGGAUGCGAGCGUUAUCCGGAUUCAUUGGGUUUAAAGGGUGCGUAGGCGGACUAUUAAGUCAGUGGUGAAAUCCUGCAGCUUAACUGCAGAACUGCCAUUGAUACUGAUAGCCUUGAGUUUGGUUAAGGUAGGCGGAAUGUGUAAUGUAGCGGUGAAAUGCUUAGAUAUUACACAGAACACCAAUUGCGUAGGCAGCUUACUGAGCCGACACUGACGCUGAGGCACGAAAGCGUGGGGAUCGAACAGGAUUAGAAACCCGGGUAGUCC
rnacentral:rRNA from 1 species